rnacentral:tRNA from 1 species
GUCACCAUGGUGUAGUGGUUUGAGUGUUGGACUACAACUCUGGAGACCAGGGUUCAAAUCUCUACUUUGUCA